rnacentral:rRNA from 1 species
GACGUAGGAUGCAAGCGUUGUCCGGAAUUAUUGGGCGUAAAGAGUUCGUAGGCGGUUACUUAAGUCUGGUGUUAAAGACGGGAGCUCAACUCCCGCAUGGCAUCGGAAACUGGGUAGCUAGAGUGUGGUAGAGGUCUCGGGAAUUCCAGGUGCAGCGGUGAAAUGCGUAGAUAUCUGGAGGAACACCGGUGGCGAAGGCGGCCAACUGGACGAAUACUGACGCUGAGACGCGAAAGCGUGGGGAGCAAACAGG